rnacentral:rRNA from 1 species
GACGAACGCUGGCGGCGUGCUUAACACAUGCAAGUCGAACGGAAAGGCCCUGCUUUUGUGGGGUGCUCGAGUGGCGAACGGGUGAGUAACACGUGAGUAACCUGCCCUUGACUUUGGGAUAACUUCAGGAAACUGGGGCUAAUACCGGAUAGGAGCUCCUGCUGCAUGGUGGGGGUUGGAAAGUUUCGGCGGUUGGGGAUGGACUCGCGGCUUAUCAGCUUGUUGGUGGGGUAGUGGCUUACCAAGGCUUUGACGGGUAGCCGGCCUGAGAGGGUGACCGGCCACAUUGGGACUGAGAUACGGCCCAGACUCCUACGGGAGGCAGCAGUGGGGAAUAUUGCACAAUGGGCGGAAGCCUGAUGCAGCAACGCCGCGUGCGGGAUGACGGCCUUCGGGUUGUAAACCGCUUUCGCCUGUGACGAAGCGUGAGUGACGGGAAUGGGUAAAGAAGCACCGGCUAACUACGG